UACGUAGGGUGCAAGCGUUAAUCGGAAUUACUGGGCGUAAAGCGUGCGCAGGCGGUUAUUUAAGUCAGUAGUGAAAUCCCCGGGCUCAACCUGGGAAUGGCAUUUGAGGCUGCAUGGCUAGAGUGUGUCAGAGGGGGGUAGAAUUCCACGUGUAGCAGUGAAAUGCGUAGAUAUGUGGAGGAAUACCGAUGGCGAAGGCAGCCCCCUGGGAUAACACUGACGCUCAUGCACGAAGGCGUGGGGAGCAAACAGG
rnacentral:rRNA from 1 species